rnacentral:rRNA from 1 species
GAUGAACGCUGGCGGCGUGCUUAACACAUGCAAGUCGAACGAUGAUGCCCACUUGUGGGUGGAUUAGUGGCGAACGGGUGAGUAACACGUGAGUAACCUGCCCUUGACUCUGGGAUAAGCCUGGGAAACUGGGUCUAAUACCGGAUAUGACCUUCCAUCGCAUGGUGGUUGGUGGAAAGCUUUUGUGGUUUUGGAUGGACUCGCGGCCUAUCAGCUUGUUGGUGAGGUAAUGGCUUACCAAGGCGACGACGGGUAGCCGGCCUGAGAGGGUGACCGGCCACACUGGGACUGAGACACGGCCCAGACUCCUACGGGAGGCAGCAGUGGGGAAUAUUGCACAAUGGGCGCAAGCCUGAUGCAGCGACGCCGCGUGAGGGAUGACGGCCUUCGGGUUGUAAACCUCUUUCAGUAGGGAAGAAGCGAAAGUGACGGUACCUGCAGAAGAAGCGCCGGCUAACUACGUGCCAGCAGCCGCCGUAACAC